rnacentral:rRNA from 1 species
GACGAACGCUGGCGGCGUGCUUAACACAUGCAAGUCGAACGGAAAGGCCCUGCUUUUGUGGGGUGCUCGAGUGGCGAACGGGUGAGUAACACAUGAGUAACCUGCCCUUGACUUUGGGAUAACUUUAGGAAACUGGGGCUAAUACCGGAUAGGAGCUCUUGCUGCAUGGUGGGGGUUGGAAAGUUUCGGCGGUUGUGGAUGGACUCGCGGCUUAUCAGCUAGUUGGUGGAGUAGUGGUUUACCAAGGCUUAGACGGGUAGCCGGCCUGAGAGGGUUGCCGGCCACAUUAGUACUGCGGUACGGCCCAGACGCCUACGGGACGCAGCAGUCGAGAGUAUUGCACAGUAAGCCGAAGUCAGAUACGACAACGCUGCGUGCGGAAUGACGGGCUUCGGGUUAUGAACCGCUUUCGCCUGUGACGUGGCGGUAGUGACGGUACUGAAUAAAGAAGCACCGGCUAACUACGUG